GUUCCCUCUGGCUUCUGUAGCCUCAGGAGCCCCUCAGAACCACGGGGGUGGAGGGGCCGAGGCUGACCUGGCAUGGGUGGGGUGCUGCAGGGGCACCCUGUGGUCACGGCUCAUCACUGGCAAUGGCCUGGGCCAGGAGCCACUGAAAAUGUCAGCCUUCCCUGCUGUGCUCUUGGCCGUGGGCCUGCUGCUGGUGGAGACAAACAGCACCGUGUCUGGAAGACAAAGUGCUUCACUGCAGUGUCAUGUGUGUGAGAGAGAGAAUAGUUUUGAGUGCGAAAAUC